rnacentral:rRNA from 1 species
GACGAACGCUGGCGGCGUGCUUAACACAUGCAAGUCGAGCGGUGAGACGACUAGCUUGUUGGUGUGAGUGUAUGAGUGGCGAACGGGGGAGUAACACGUGAAUAAACUUCCCCGUCUUGCUUGAUAACCGCAAGAAAGUGUGACUAAUACGGAAUAUUUUGAGUCGCAUGCAUGAUGAGUCUGGGAAGGAUUUUGUGUCGCUGGUGGAUGGGUUCGCGGCCUAUCAGCUUGUUGGUAAGGUGAUGGCCUACCAAGGCGAUGAGGGGUAGCCGGCCUGAGAGGGUGGACGGCCACGCUGGGAAGACGAGACCGCGACGACUACUGCGGGAGGCAGCAGUGAGUAUUAUUGAAUGAGGGGAGCAAGCCUGAAGCAGCGACGCCGGGUGAGGGAUGGAGGCCUUCGGGUUGUGCUCUUCUUUCGCGAGUGAAGAAGGCUUGCAUCGUCUGUGGGUGGGUUGACGGUAGCUGGACAAAAAGCGACGGCUAACUACGUG